UAUGUGUGUGCAGCUCACACAGACCUGUUGGGCUGGAGAGGAUCUUGGCAUCUCAAGCUGGAUUUAGGAUGCGAGCCACACUUCUUUGGAAAAGCAAGAAGGAAAUCAAGGAAUGCCACCUGCAAACCAGGACUGAAGCCCAGGGAAGCCCUGAGGGCGAGCAAGGCACAUGGAGGAGCCCCACAAACUGCUUGGGGGAUCAUUUUCCAGCUCAGGAACCAACAGACACAGCCUGUAAUUUUGUGAACUUCCAGCUGCCCUCUCCAUCUCGGAUAGGAUCUGCAGCUGUGAGGCACAGGUCUGGAAAGCUGCCCGGGAUGUGCCUGGUGCCACCUGCUCCCACCCAGGGUGGGCUGAGCCCUGCUGGUGGGCACAGGGUGCCUGGCACUCAGGGAAGCUCAUCCUUGUCCUUGGCUACAGCUCCCAGCUCCAUCCUGCCCUCCUGGAACAUCCCUCCACAUCUCCUGCUGCUGCCAACUCUCCCCAGCUCACAGGUCUAGGCCAGUGCUCCCUGGAGUCCUCUGGGCUUUGCUGGUGCUAAUUUUCCUAAGAAACUGUGAUGCCAACAUGUUGCAGCAGCCCCGUAGGAUGCAGGCCUGGGGGACUCAUCCUGCCUUACCCCAAACUGGGGCCUGAAGCAUGGGGUGAGCUGGGGCAGGAGACAGCCUCUGCUCCCUGUGCCACAGCCUGACACCCGUGGGCAGGGAGCGUGGGGCAACACAAACAGCCCCACGGUGCUAACUGCUGCCCAUAAUCCCAGGAUUAUGUAUUUACUGCUUGUUAUAUCCCUCUUCCAGCUCCCAGCUCCCAUCCCUACCCCAGGCCAAACCAGUGCAGAGCAGGCCCUGGGAUGCUCCUCAUUAGAUGCUAUUUGUAUUUUUCAUACAACACAUUUUUCCAUGCAAUUUAAAACACAGGACAUUAAGGUCCAGCUCAGAGACCCGUGUCUUUCUGCCUCCCAGCCUCCAAACACACUCAGGGUGUCCCUUGGGAUUAGAGGCUGAGGUCCCAAGGGGACCACUUCCACUGGGCUCCCUCUCAGCACCUUCACUUGGGAUGGGUAUAAAAAGAAAGGACCCAUUUUUGAGGGGUGUUUGGAGCUGCUGGAGUCUUUUACUGGAGCAAAUCCCUGAUGGAGCAGCCCUCUGCAGCAUCCAUCAAAGUGCAGGUACCUUCCUAGGGAAUGGCAGUAUUUCAGUCCUGGAUCUGGAGCUGUUUAUGAAAUUAUCAGGGCUAGACAAAUGGUGACUUUUGUUUCAGCAGACACGCUGUGUGCUGGAAACCUCAUAGGAGAUAAAUCUCUGACCUGCUCAUUAUAUUCCUCUUCCCUCCUCCCUCCCUGACUUCAAAUAAACGGGUGUAAACGGGU